CAUAGGUUAAUGAGGCGAACCGGGGGAACUGAAACAUCUAAGUACCCCGAGGAAAAGAAAUCAACCGAGAUUCCCCCAGUAGCGGCGAGCGAACGGGGAGGAGCCCAGAGCCUGAAUCAGUGUGUGUGUUAGUGGAAGCGUCUGGAAAGGCGCGCGAUACAGGGUGACAGCCCCGUACACAAAAAUGCACAUAUUGUGAGCUCGAUGAGUAGGGCGGGACACGUGGUAUCCUGUCUGAAUAUGGGGGGACCAUCCUCCAAGGCUAAAUACUCCUGACUGACCGAUAGUGAACCAGUACCGUGAGGGAAAGGCGAAAAGAACCCCGGCGAGGGGAGUGAAAAAGAACCUGAAACCGUGUACGUACAAGCAGUGGGAGCCUCUUAAUGGGGUGACUGCGUACCUUUUGUAUAAUGGGUCAGCGACUUAUAUUCUGUAGCAAGGUUAACCGAAUAGGGGAGCCGAAGGGAAACCGAGUCUUAACUGGGCGUUAAGUUGCAGGGUAUAGACCCGAAACCCGGUGAUCUAGCCAUGGGCAGGUUGAAGGUUGGGUAACACUAACUGGAGGACCGAACCGACUAAUGUUGAAAAAUUAGCGGAUGACUUGUGGCUGGGGGUGAAAGGCCAAUCAAACCGGGAGAUAGCUGGUUCUCCCCGAAAGCUAUUUAGGUAGCGCCUCGUGAAUUCAUCUCCGGGGGUAGAGCACUGUUUCGGCAAGGGGGUCAUCCCGACUUACCAACCCGAUGCAAACUGCGAAUACCGGAGAAUGUUAUCACGGGAGACACACGGCGGGUGCUAACGUCCGUCGUGAAGAGGGAAACAACCCAGACCGCCAGCUAAGGUCCCAAAGUCAUGGUUAAGUGGGAAACGAUGUGGGAAGGCCCAGACAGCCAGGAUGUUGGCUUAGAAGCAGCCAUCAUUUAAAGAAAGCGUAAUAGCUCACUGGUCGAGUCGGCCUGCGCGGAAGAUGUAACGGGGCUAAACCAUGCACCGAAGCUGCGGCAGCGACACUAUGUGUUGUUGGGUAGGGGAGCGUUCUGUAAGCCUGUGAAGGUGUACUGUGAGGUAUGCUGGAGGUAUCAGAAGUGCGAAUGCUGACAUAAGUAACGAUAAAGCGGGUGAAAAGCCCGCUCGCCGGAAGACCAAGGGUUCCUGUCCAACGUUAAUCGGGGCAGGGUGAGUCGACCCCUAAGGCGAGGCCGAAAGGCGUAGUCGAUGGGAAACAGGUUAAUAUUCCUGUACUUGGUGUUACUGCGAAGGGGGGACGGAGAAGGCUAUGUUGGCCGGGCGACGGUUGUCCCGGUUUAAGCGUGUAGGCUGGUUUUCCAGGCAAAUCCGGAAAAUCAAGGCUGAGGCGUGAUGACGAGGCACUACGGUGCUGAAGCGACAAAUGCCCUGCUUCCAGGAAAAGCCUCUAAGCAUCAGGUAACAUCAAAUCGUACCCCAAACCGACACAGGUGGUCAGGUAGAGAAUACCAAGGCGCUUGAGAGAACUCGGGUGAAGGAACUAGGCAAAAUGGUGCCGUAACUUCGGGAGAAGGCACGCUGAUAUGUAGGUGAAGCGACUUGCUCGUGGAGCUGAAAUCAGUCGAAGAUACCAGCUGGCUGCAACUGUUUAUUAAAAACACAGCACUGUGCAAACACGAAAGUGGACGUAUACGGUGUGACGCCUGCCCGGUGCCGGAAGGUUAAUUGAUGGGGUUAGCGGUAACGCGAAGCUCUUGAUCGAAGCCCCGGUAAACGGCGGCCGUAACUAUAACGGUCCUAAGGUAGCGAAAUUCCUUGUCGGGUAAGUUCCGACCUGCACGAAUGGCGUAAUGAUGGCCAGGCUGUCUCCACCCGAGACUCAGUGAAAUUGAACUCGCUGUGAAGAUGCAGUGUACCCGCGGCAAGACGGAAAGACCCCGUGAACCUUUACUAUAGCUUGACACUGAACAUUGAGCCUUGAUGUGUAGGAUAGGUGGGAGGCUUUGAAGUGUGGACGCCAGUCUGCAUGGAGCCGACCUUGAAAUACCACCC
rnacentral:rRNA from 1 species